rnacentral:rRNA from 1 species
UCUCUCUGAAUCUGCGAACGGCUCCGCAAACCAGUUGUAAACUUUAGCAAGCAGGCUCGGGGUUGGCCUUCACGGGCUGGCCUCGGGCGAUAUGGAUAACCCUGGUAAUUCUGAGGCUAAUACAUGAACGUAGAACCCGGUUGACUAGGCUUCACGGCUCGGGAGGCUGGGGGAUGUGUGAUUGCAGGCUUGGGUAACACCGGGAAAGGGCGCACGUCCAGACCGCGCUAUAAAGGAUGGGCUCCUCACGGGGCCUGCCCCAGCGGCUCUUGCAGUGUGCUUCUGACCUAUCAACUAGACGGCAGCGUAAGGGACAUGCUAUGGUGACAACGGGUACAGAGGAUUAGGGUUCGAUCCUGGAGAGUGGGCCUGAGAGAUU